GGGUGAGCAGGGGAGUAAAUCAUGUCGAAACAGUGAAGCCCAGGACUCAACCUACAAACACACAAAACCACUUUAUACAUCUCACAUCAUUGGAUGCUGGGUCUUUCUUUGCCAAGAGCUGCAUGGCCAGAGGCUAGGCUCUUAACCUUCACAAUCUGUUCCGCUAAUACAAUACGGGAAGCAUUCGUGGAGAGCAGAGGGAGCCUUGAGUGUGGGAAGUCCUGGGUGAAUGUGUAUUGUUUGACACGGGCACAGUAGUAUCAAGGACCCCAAAGCCUCCAACCCAUGAAAUCAGCAAAGUUCCUCCUGCCCUCAGAAUGGGAACCAGAGGAAUAGCCAGGCUUUCCUCUGUUCUCUGAUUGGAAAAUGCCCACCAUGGUUUUCUCCCUGCUGGAUGUUCCCAGCCUGAAGACUGCUCCUCUCUCUACAGAGACUGCUCCUACUGAGGUUAGUGAGACCUGCCUCCUGGAUUAUCUGCAUGCAGUAACCCCGCCUCCCUGUUCAACAGUUUAUAAUAAACAUGCUGAGCUUCUGGGCUUCUGGGUUUCUUCAGCAGAGAUCCCAAUCCAAUCAAACCCAGUUUGUCUGUGUGUCUGUUUGUUCUUCAUUUCCCUGAGAGUGUGGGUUCAUACCUGGAGCCACACUAGAUGCAGCACAUAGAGAUGUCUUCCACUUCUUCAGCCUGGAGACACUGUGAUUUUCCUGCUUUAAGCAGCCUCGACUUUCCUUGGAAAUAGCCCCCAAAUGAAAAGACAUUCACACCAAUGUAAGGGGUACCUUCUCAACAAGCCAGGCAGCAAGAAACAUCCACGCAGUAGUAAAAGCCAUCGUUCUCGCCCCCUGCAAUCAUCUGAAAAGGAAUUAAGCAAAACAAAGCCACAAAGCACAUGCACUCUUUGUGUAGCAUAACUUAAUAGAAU
rnacentral:lncRNA from 1 species